rnacentral:piRNA from 1 species
UGGCUGAUCUGAAGGCCAUGACAUGAGAGU